GGUUAAGCGACUAAGCGUACACGGUGGAUGCCCUGGCAGUCAGAGGCGAUGAAGGACGUGCUAAUCUGCGAAAAGCGUCGGUAAGGUGAUAUGAACCGUUACAGCCGGCGAUGUCCGAAUGGGGAAACCCAGUGCAAUUCGUUGCACUAUCGUUAACUGAAUACAUAGGUUAACGAGGCGAACCGGGGGAACUGAAACAUCUAAGUACCCCGAGGAAAAGAAAUCAACCGAGAUUCCCCCAGUAGCGGCGAGCGAACGGGGAGCAGCCCGGAGUCUGAAUCAGCUUGUGUGUUAGUGGAAGCGUCUGGAAAGUCGCAGGGUACAGGGUGAUACUCCCGUACACUAAAACACACAGGCUGUGAACUCGAAGAGUAGGGCGGGACACGUGGUAUCCUGUCUGAAUAUGGGGGGACCAUCCUCCAAGGCUAAAUACUCCUGACUGACCGAUAGUGAACCAGUACCGUGAGGGAAAGGCGAAAAGAACCCCGGCGAGGGGAGUGAAAAAGAACCUGAAACCGUGUACGUACAAGCAGUAGGAGCCCACUAGUUGGGUGACUGCGUACCUUUUGUAUAAUGGGUCAGCGACUUAUAUUCUGUAGCAAGGUUAACCGAAUAGGGGAGCCGCAGGGAAACCGAGUCUUAACUGGGCGUUAAGUUGCAGGGUAUAGACCCGAAACCCGGUGAUCUAGCCAUGGGCAGGUUGAAGGUUGGGUAACACUAACUGGAGGACCGAACCGACUAAUGUUGAAAAAUUAGCGGAUGACUUGUGGCUGGGGGUGAAAGGCCAAUCAAACCGGGAGAUAGCUGGUUCUCCCCGAAAGCUAUUUAGGUAGCGCCUCGUGAACUCAUCUUCGGGGGUAGAGCACUGUUUCGGCUAGGGGGUCAUCCCGACUUACCAACCCGAUGCAAACUACGAAUACCGAAGAAUGUUAUCACGGGAGACACACGGCGGGUGCUAACGUCCGUCGUGAAGAGGGAAACAACCCAGACCGCCAGCUAAGGUCCCAAAGUCAUGGUUAAGUGGGAAACGAUGUGGGAAGGCCCAGACAGCCAGGAUGUUGGCUUAGAAGCAGCCAUCAUUUAAAGAAAGCGUAAUAGCUCACUGGUCGAGUCGGCCUGCGCGGAAGAUGUAACGGGGCUAAACCAUGCACCGAAGCUGCGGCAGCGACACUAUGUGUUGUUGGGUAGGGGAGCGUUCUGUAAGCCGUUGAAGGUGGCCUGUGAGGGUUGCUGGAGGUAUCAGAAGUGCGAAUGCUGACAUAAGUAACGAUAAUGCGGGUGAAAAACCCGCACGCCGGAAGACCAAGGGUUCCUGUCCAACGUUAAUCGGGGCAGGGUGAGUCGACCCCUAAGGCGAGGCCGAAAGGCGUAGUCGAUGGGAAACAGGUUAAUAUUCCUGUACUUGGUGUUACUGCGAAGGGGGGACGGAGAAGGCUAUGUUGGCCGGGCGACGGUUGUCCCGGUUUAAGCAUGUAGGCGGAUGUUCCAGGUAAAUCCGGAACGUCACUAACGCUGAGGUGUGAUGACGAGGCACUACGGUGCUGAAGUGACAAAUGCCCUGCUUCCAGGAAAAGCCUCUAAGCAUCAGGUAACAUCAAAUCGUACCCCAAACCGACACAGGUGGUCAGGUAGAGAAUACCAAGGCGCUUGAGAGAACUCGGGUGAAGGAACUAGGCAAAAUGGUGCCGUAACUUCGGGAGAAGGCACGCUGAUGGUAAGUGAAGUGACUUGCUCAUGGAGCUGAAAUCAGUCGAAGAUACCAGCUGGCUGCAACUGUUUAUUAAAAACACAGCACUGUGCAAACACGAAAGUGGACGUAUACGGUGUGACGCCUGCCCGGUGCCGGAAGGUUAAUUGAUGGGGUUAUCCUCACGGAGAAGCUCUUGAUCGAAGCCCCGGUAAACGGCGGCCGUAACUAUAACGGUCCUAAGGUAGCGAAAUUCCUUGUCGGGUAAGUUCCGACCUGCACGAAUGGCGUAAUGAUGGCCAGGCUGUCUCCACCCGAGACUCAGUGAAAUUGAACUCGCUGUGAAGAUGCAGUGUACCCGCGGCAAGACGGAAAGACCCCGUGAACCUUUACUAUAGCUUGACACUGAACACUGGUCCUUGAUGUGUAGGAUAGGUGGGAGGCUUUGAAGUGUGGACGCCAGUCUGCAUGGAGCCGUCCUUGAAAUACCACCCUUUAAUGGCUGGUGUUCUAACGUUGGCCCCUAAUCGGGGUUGCGGACAGUGUCUGGUGGGUAGUUUGACUGGGGCGGUCUCCUCCUAAAGAGUAACGGAGGAGCACGAAGGUCAGCUAAUCCUGGUCGGACAUCAGGAGGUUAGUGCAAUGGCAUAAGCUGGCUUGACUGCGAGCGUGACGGCGCGAGCAGGUGCGAAAGCAGGUCAUAGUGAUCCGGUGGUUCUGAAUGGAAGGGCCAUCGCUCAACGGAUAAAAGGUACUCCGGGGAUAACAGGCUGAUACCGCCCAAGAGUUCAUAUCGACGGCGGUGUUUGGCACCUCGAUGUCGGCUCAUCACAUCCUGGGGCUGAAGUAGGUCCCAAGGGUAUGGCUGUUCGCCAUUUAAAGUGGUACGCGAGCUGGGUUUAGAACGUCGUGAGACAGUUCGGUCCCUAUCUGCCGUGGGCGCUGGAGAAUUGAGGGGGGCUGCUCCUAGUACGAGAGGACCGGAGUGGACGCAUCACUGGUGUUCGGGUUGUCAUGCCAAUGGCAUUGCCCGGUAGCUAAAUGCGGAAGAGAUAAGUGCUGAAAGCAUCUAAGCACGAAACUUGCCCCGAGAUGAGUUCUCCCUGACUCCUUGAGAGUCCUGAAGGAACGUUGAAGACGACGACGUUGAUAGGCCGGGUGUGUAAGCGCAGCGAUGCGUUGAGCUAACCGGUACUAAUGAACCGUGAGGCUUAACCUU
rnacentral:rRNA from 1 species